GCCGGGUGUGGUGGUGCACACCUGUAGUCCCAGCUACUUGGGAGGCUGAGGUGGGAGAAUCUCUUGAACCCAGGAGGCAUAGGUUGCGGUGAGCCAAAAUCACACCACUGCACUCCAGCCUGGGCGACAGAGCGAGACUCCAUCUCAA
rnacentral:SRP_RNA from 1 species